rnacentral:rRNA from 1 species
CCUACGGGUGGCAGCAGUGAGGAAUAUUGGUCAAUGGGCGGAAGCCUGAACCAGCCAAGUAGCGUGCGGGAUGAAGGCCCUACGGGUCGUAAACCGCUUUUGCCCGGGGAUAACACGCCCCACGUGUGGGGUUCUGCAGGUACCGGGCGAAUAAGCACCGGCUAAUUCCGUGCCAGCAGCCGCGGUAAUACGGAAGGUCCGAGCGUUAUCCGGAUUCAUUGGGUUUAAAGGGGGCGCAGGCGGGCCUUUAAGCCGGCGGUAAAAUCGCGGGGCUCAACCGCGCCGCGCAGUGGGAACUGGGGGCCUUGAGUGCGCAGCAGGCAGGCGGAAUGCGGGGUGUAGCGGUGAAAUGCAUAGAUAUCGCGAAGAACCCCGAUUGCGAAGGCAGCGUGCCG